CGGGAAGUGGCGCAGCCUGGUAGCGCACCUGCUUUGGGAGCAGGGGGUCGUGGGUUCAAAUCCCGCCUUCCCGA
rnacentral:tRNA from 2 species